CUACGUUCCAGUUUCACCUUAACAAGAGAAGGAUGGUAGGAGGAAGUCUAACUUGCAUAUCCUUUGGGAAUACUGUGAUAUCAGGGCACUUGCACGUGGGCUUCUAUGGGAAAUGAGGAGACAACCAAGGAGCUGAUCCUUUGACUCUGGGGCUCCAGAAGCUGCUAGAAACACCCUGAAUAGUCAGAAAACUCAUCUUGAUAUAGGAGACUGUUGAACAGAUCUGUACCUCAGUUUAGGGGACUGAGUAAUUAUUACUGCGGAGGAGUACUUUUGUGUGUGCGACUCAAGUGUCUCUGACUUCAACCUGAAGGAAUCGGACCCCUGAUCCUAAGGGGACAAAGACAAGAGUGGGAGAAAUGCAUUUUCAUAAAUGAAGGAGAAGUGGAGUCCAUAAUUAGCUCAGCUGUUCCGAAACUGCCUAUGACUUCAUGGACAGAGGAGAGCGAGAUGAAAUUAAGAGGCCAGCUUGUUGGGAAGUCAGUUCACUGUGUCGCGCAGAUCUAAGACAAAUGUUGGAGCAAUUGCUGUUCCUGAAAACAUACAUGGUACUGGAGUGACAAGCAGAAUUUUGUUGAUUCUGCUUUUCUCAUCAAGUAGGAGAAAUGGAUCACUUCUGGCAGGGUUCAAUGUUCUCUUUCUGUCACUAAAGAGAAAUAUCUCCAAGGUCCAGAAAAAUAAGAAGACAGUGUGUUUACGUCAACCUUUAAAUUAGAAAAAUAUCACUGACUGAAGUUCCAAACUAUAUAU
rnacentral:lncRNA from 1 species